GCCAGGGAUUGAAUCUGCAUCCUCAUGGACACUAGUAGGGUUUGUUUCUGUUGCACCACAAUGGGAACUCCCAGAUUUAUUAUUAUUUAAGAUAGAAUACCUGACCUCACUGUGUUUCUAGGAGAGAAGAUAAACAUUGCUUAGUUAUACAAAGCCAUGAAAAAGUAAAAGCAUGUUAUCAAACUUAAGAAUAGAGAUGGUCUAGUUAAUAGUUUCAGUAACAUUGAGGGAAAUUUUUUUGGUAAUCAAAUUUAAACUGGCCUGAAGAAUAAGGCUGAUUUAAAUUAUUUUUAUUGUUUUAUUAGAACUUUUGUUUUACUGCAAAGGAGAUGGCAAUGAGUUACAUUGUGAGAAAUAAUGAAGUUUAAACUCUGAUUGCUACUGAGAUCUAUGGCUCAGAACUCUCUGACUGGAACCCACCUUCAGUUACUUCUCCCACAUUCCUUUCGCUGGAACGGGGCACAAAGAAAAGAAACAUGCUCUUCCCAAAGAAGCAGGUGGAGAGGGAUCUGGCUGAACAGUGAGUCCAUUCAAGAAUAUCAUCAAGUGCAAUGUCUCCUGGAGAAAACCUAAAGAUUUUAAAUUUGAAAGAAACUGCUCACAAGAAGAGAAAUGAAUGACUGAUAAUGUAGUUAUCCCGCAGCAGUACAGCAAUAUAGAUGAGUAAUAAUGACAAGGAAAAUGAAAACAGCCAUGACUGAAAGACUGAACUAGGAAAAUACAACGACCAGGUAAUUUUCUUCUGUAAUUAUCUUAUUUCCACUUACUAUCCCCUGGAAACAGAUUCCGAGUUCUACAUUCCUUGAUCUAUACCAUCUUUCCACUGUAGGAAAGGUCUUCUACAAGGAAGUUCUCAGUAAAUGCUGGCUGACUGACAGACACGGAGUGACUGAGAAGCAGUGUUUAAAAUCUCUAACCUCUACUUUUGCUUCUAUAAAAUUAUUUUUAACUACUUCAACCCACCUUGUUUUUGGGAAACCUAACACAUGCACAAUAUAAAACCUUGUUCCUGGCAUCUGAAAAAAAUCUUACAGCAGUAACAGCCUCCAGCCCAAUUCCCUGCCCUAGAAGGCAAAGCUUUUAAUAUUAUUAAGCUAACCUGGUUAGAGUAGGGAGAAGCUACUUAAAACACUAACAUCAAACUGGUGAGAGUUUUCACAGUUAAUUGGCAGCUUUUUUUUUUUUUUUUUUUUUUUACCUAAGAAAGAAUAUAUAUAUAUGCAUCAUGUUAGGUACAAGGAUGAAACCAAACUUAGGCAAAAUAUUUUGCCCAUUUAUCGUCUAUGCCAUUUUUAGAGCUUUUAGCAUCUCUGAGUAAGUCUCUCAGAUUUGGCAAUGCCCACCUUUUCCCAGAGCCUCAUGUCUCUUUCAAGUCAAGAUUAUCUCUCUCCCUGGUCUAACCAGUGAUACAUCCAUUCCAGUGAGCUGAUGAGCAGUAGUAGCAAAGGAUGCCACUUCUGUGGCCUUAGGUUAAACCGUGCAAGUGGAAUGCCGCAUAGAUUGUUCUGUAAGUUAACGUCUGAAUCCUUCCGAGAAACAGUAGUAGUUCUAUUUUUUAAUUUUUUAAAAAUAUAGGUGAUUUACGGUGUUGUGCCAAUUUCUGCUAUACAGCAAAGGGAGCCAGAAAUAUAUAUUCUUCUCCAUCAUGGUCUAUCCCAGGAGACUGGAUAUAGUUUCCUGUGCUACACAGCUGGGACCCUGUUCUUUAACAGUGUUCUAUUUGAAGCAUGGCAUGAAGCACUUCACAAGAUUACUAAAUUCAUUUCCACAAAAACUCUGUGAGUUAGGUAGCUCAGAAAAACUGAAACUUAAAUAGUAAGUCCAGCAAUAUAGAUCUAAAAGGAGCAGAGUAGGUCUGGGGACCGAGGCUAUGACCUCUAUGCCCUAUUUAUAACUGGCAGGAGUUCAUGUCUGGGAAAACAGCUUUGGGUGUGAUUCUGUGUUCUAGCUGCUUCACACAAAUCACCUCACCUCCAAGUCAAAUGUCUAUCUAAUCCAAUUGUAACCCUCCUCACUAAAUAUUAGAAACUUCUUCCUCUUGCUGUGUCACCCAACCUUUUCACUGUAUCUUGGUUAAAACUCAGAAGUAAAACUUCAGCAUAACCUAUUUCAAAUUUGGUACACCUUACUCCAUAAGAUAUUUAGAACCAUUUUGUAAAGUAAAAGCAAAUAUUUAUACAAAUUAAUGGUGAUCCUAAUUUUAUUUCAUGGAGUAAAAUGUUUAAUGUUAUCUGUCUCUUACUAACAAAAAAUAAAACUACAUGGCAGUUGCCAGACUGAUUAGAUUUUGGCGGUAUACAAUUUUCAGCAUACAGGGAACGCUAUAUUAUGGUAGCUAAUAAGCUUGAUUGAAUUAGGUCUGAUAUUUACAUUUGAAUACUCCUCACUAAAUAUUGGAAAUUCAUUCCUUUUAAAAAAAUUGAUGUUCUCUCCUUUCUAAAUAAGAAAUUCAAGAAAAAAUUAUAGGGUGAAGAAUAGGAUGAGAUCAGAUGUCAAUAAUUUCUCUGAUAAACAGAAAAAUUGAAGAGGUCUAGUCAAUUUAGUUUAAGAAAACAUUGUUGAUUGCCUCUUCUUUGCUAGACACUGUGCUAUUCUUGAAUUGCAAAUAAAAAAAUGCCUUUACCCUUGGAAAUUAAUUAUCUCACUCAGAAAUACUUUUACAUCAUAAAAUAUAGGAGUGGUAUCACAAUUUUUCUAUUUAUUUUGUUGUAGCUUAGAAUGGGUAAUCUCAGUUAACUGACUUCACUGAGCUAAACCAUUUUCAACAAUUCCUUUACAGAAAAUGAUUCUGAAAUGAGCAGUUUUCCAUAAUUUCAGAGAGUGAUUUAGGUGGAAAUCAUCCAUUACCAUUAAUAGAAUUUAUAUAACUCAAUUUUACUGCCACUAAAAGGUCACCUCUGAAAGGCUUUUAUUAAUGUUAUUUCCUUUUAAAGAAGUUGUUUCUGUCAAAAAUAAUAAGCUAUAGAAUUCAAAAGCGAUCAUUCACUACUUUAAUCUGAAUUCAUUAUUUUUAAUAUCUUUAUACUUUUGCUCCACUAAAUUUAUACACACACACACAUAUAUAUAUAUGUGUAUAUAUAUAUAUAUUCACCUUUUAACUGUAGAAACUGCCUGCCAAGUGACGUAAUUAAGGGCAUAUAUAUUGUGUUUACAUAUAAGAUAUAUAAUCUCCCAAUUUGGGACAGUCGUAGGUGACGUUUUCUUGUUGAUUCCUAUAAAAACUGUACUUUUAACUGUAGAGGCUGCCUACCAAGUGAGGUAAUUAAAGGCAUAAACUCCCUUUGAAGAUGGGAUAUUUUCCAUUGAAUUGUCUUCAAAUGAAUGAUCGAUGGUGUCUUCUCUUUGAAGAACAGAAGGCAACCUAGAAGCUUUAUCCCAGAUUCUCUCAGUGAUUGAUAAUCUCCAGUGGUGUUUUGUCAAGCAAACCAAGGCAUAAUGAGAGUAACAGAAUAAGCGCUUAAGCUUGAACAGAGCCCAGCCUGCCAGUUCUCGGUUAGGAAGUCAUCUAUUAGCAACCUUUCAUCAUCCCAACCCUCUACAGUCAAAUUGACUUCUGGUGUCUGAAAUAGUAGGCGGCCUCUUUGGCUAACUCAGAGUCAUUGUAUCUUGGUUCUUUUUGGGGAAACUACCUGUAUAAACAGGCCAGGAUAAUGAGUAAACACCAACCAACCAACUUUCCUUUACAGUUCCAUGCUCAUUCCCAGGCACAGAGCCCCGCCUUAUUCUGACAAAAGACAGGCUGAUUUGGACUGUGCCUCACUAAGGAAAUGGCCACCUGACACUAGUUUAAAGAAGUGAUAAAUCUCCAAAGUUUUACAGUCUCUCUCUCCCUCUCACUCACACACACACACACAGAGCCUGGGUUUUCUUCCUACUGGAGGCACUCUGAAAACCAGAAUCACAGUGUGCACGGUUAUUAACCAAUUGCAUGUAACUGCCAGAAAGUUGAAAUUGCACCUCAGUGUUUGCGGCCGGCAGGAUUUCUCCUGGCAACCCGUGGCUGUUUUAAGUGCAGACAGAAUGGAGCUGCACAGCCAGCUCUCUCCACAUGGGGUAGGGAAAGGCUGUGCAGAGGUAGAUGCAGGAUACAAGUGCUUCAGGAAAUGACUUCUAGCGCUAGCUCUUCUUUUUUGUAUCAACAUCUAAUUUACAUAGAAAAUCAAAUACCUAGGAAUGAAUUAGAUGCUCACAGAACAAAAAAAGAUUCAUGAACAAUGUCAAUGAUUAGGAGCUCUGAAGUAUUAUGAAGGGCAAUCCAUAAGUAUAUGAUUUUUGGAGGAAAAUAAAUGUACAUAAUGCAUGAUAAUUAAAGAAGAGUGUUUAAAGGCAGUAUGUAUAUAUUGUUUGUUUAGUUUUGUGGUGCAAAACCCAGGCCCCAAAAUACAGCUGGCAUGUCUGUCUUUCUCACAUUUCUACAAGUGGACUGGGGUCUCUCUGCUUCCAGCUAGAAUCUGUGGGUGGACCCAAGCUGGAAGGCACAGUUACCUGAGGCAUCUUCUCCUGACAGAAGUCAGAAGCCUCUAGAUGGGUGGGUACAAGUGGGAGAUGCCUCUUAAAGCCUUGGGUUAGGACUGGUACCCAAUCACUUCUUCCCACAUUCUUCUGGUAAAGCAAGUUCCUUGGCCAAGCCCACCUCUGAAGGGAUAGAGAUGUUUGCUUCUCUUGGGGAAAGAGAAUAAAGUUGGGGGAAAGAAAAUGACUAUUUGCUGAAUGAUGAGCUAAUCUGACAAUUUUUUUUUUUCUCACAGUUUGGAAAAUGUCAAUAAUUUAAAAAGACAUGGGUGUUC